ensembl:lncRNA
AGAGAGCAAAAAAAUAGCAUGUCUAAUACAAGAUUUAUUUGAGUGAGGUUUUUUUUGGCCAAAUUUUAUGGCAACUUUUGCACUCUCUCAAACUUGCCAUACUAGCUGAUAAGCAACAUUAAAUAAAUCUAUGCAUAGCACACACACACACACAAAAAGGCACAUACGGUCCACUAUCUUUACAUUUCCACAAAAUGCAUCUCAAGGGAUUUUCCUGUCUUCCUGCAAAUUUUUCAAGAUAGGUUUGAGAGCAUUUAUGUUUAAAUAUGAUAUUCAUCUGCUUAAUGGACAUUUCCACUAAAAAGGCCACCACUGUACUCUGCAGUUGGAGCACUUCUUACUGAAGGAUUUGGCUUCAUCUUCAAGUUUGGACUUUAAGUCUUCCUGAUAGAGUGAGCACUGAGUCAACUGCAGUGGCACAGGUGAACACAAUUUCACCUGAGUGACCGGAAGACUCUAAGACCCCAUUUAAGGGCUGACUCCCACAGAGAAAUGAUCUCUAUCUGGAGAUCACCCCUCUUUUGGAACCCUUCUGUGAGCCCAGGACAUGGGAAUGGGAGUGAGAAUUAGUGCACUCAUCAAUGUUUAGUCACCACAGAUAUAAGGAAUGAAGGAUAUAAGAGCCUGAAAACAUUCAAGAGGAAAAUGUCCAAAUAUAGAUCUUUCUGUUGUCAAAUGGAUGCUUGGCAGAGAUGGGGAAAUCACUAUACUAGAUGAUGGAAGAUACACCAAUUGUCUAGAGCUUUUCUCAGAUUAUGAAGACUCUUCAGCUAUCUUAAGGAUUUCUCUGUUCUCUGAAGGCCUUCUACUCAAGGCCAGAAGUGAGAAAGAAGAUGGGAACUGUGCAUUCAAACCUAGAGAUUGAGAAGGGUGGAAUAUGGCUAAUCUUUGAUUCAAUUUUGUUCUGUUGGAGCAUGAGGAGUUGGGUAGAAAACAGCAUGCAGCUUCUGACUGAAAGAAGUCUUAAGUCUUAAAGGAUAUGUAGAUUUAAUGCUUUCUCCAGAUAGGGAUGCAACAUAUGUCAAAUAAAUUAUAUAUUAGAAUGUAGGAGAAUUUGGUUUUAUUUUCACGUUAGCAGAGAAGAUAAAGAAACUUUGUUUAACAGCUGGGUUUGAUCUCCGAGAUAGCAGGGAUGUCUGCUUGGAAAAGACACUUCAAAAGCAGGUUGAACUGACAGAAGUUAUAGCCACAGCUUUGCCAUCUACCUGUACAGUAACAAGUUUUCCUGACAUUCUCUUUGUCUGUGUUCAACACAGCUGAGCAGAAAUAAAAUAAAAAAAAUACUUAUGACUGUAAAAAAAUUAGACAGCAAAAGGGAAGUAUGUUCUUCUUGAAAUCUUGGUUAUAGAAUUUGUUUCUGUUGAAAGAUUAAAGCCUCAAGUUGGAAGGUAAGAAAAGUCAGAUUUCAGCUGCUAAAGCAUGAAAAUAUUUUCAUGUUCUGAGUAAAACAUUAACAUAUUGAUAUUUUUGCAAAUAAUACUACUUUUUAGAAAAAAAUAUGUUCAAAAUUCAACUGAAGUCUUUGAAGUUGAUCUUCUGUAAUUUUUAUUUAUUUAUUUUUAAAGGAAAAUGUUAGCAAUUACAACUGACAUUAUCUUAAUUUACAAAUCAUUUAGUAUGUUCUGUCUUAUAACUAAGGAUUGAAGCUGUUGGAGGAGUUCUCUAACUUUGUAUUUCCUUUCUAUUUUUAAAAUUCAGAUGGGUAUAAAGCAUCUAAGUUAAGACAACAAGACAUACUUGCUCAGAAAAAAUGAUCUUACCUUUCAGAGACAGUCAGAAAAUUAGUUGAAGUAAUUUCUGACUAAUAUCAAUCUGAUAGGCAUAACCUGCCUGAAAACGUUCCUAAAAUAUGCCAACUCUUUUACUUGACAGAUACCUGAGCAUAUUAAAAAAG